rnacentral:rRNA from 1 species
UACGUAGGGUGCGAGCGUUAGUCGGAUUUACUGGGCGUAAAGCGUGCGCAGGCGGCCCGUUAAGACAGGUGUGAAAUCCCUGGGCUCAACCUAGGAAUUGCGCUUGUGACUGGCGGGCUCGAGUACGGUAGAGGGGGGUGGAAUUCCUGGUGUAGCAGUGAAAUGCGUAGAGAUCAGGAGGAACACCGAUGGCGAAGGCAGCCCCCUGGGCCUGUACUGACGCUCAUGCACGAAAGCGUGGGGAGCAAACAGG